rnacentral:rRNA from 1 species
UACGAAGGGGGCUAGCGUUGCUCGGAAUUACUGGGCGUAAAGCGCGCGUAGGCGGCUUUGUAAGUUAGAGGUGAAAGCCCGGGGCUCAACUCCGGAACUGCCUUUAAGACUGCAUCGCUUGAAUCCGGGAGAGGUGAGUGGAAUUCCGAGUGUAGAGGUGAAAUUCGUAGAUAUUCGGAAGAACACCAGUGGCGAAGGCGGCUCACUGGACCGGGUAUUGACGCUGAGGUGCGAAAGCGUGGGGAGCAAACAGG